UGGGGAAUUUUGGACAAUGGGCGAAAGCCUGAUCCAGCAAUGCCGCGUGUGUGAAGAAGGCCUUCGGGUUGUAAAGCACUUUUGUCCGGAAAGAAAUCCUUGGCUCUAAUACAGUCGGGGGAUGACGGUACCGGAAGAAUAAGCACCGGCUAACUACGUGCCAGCAGCCGCGGUAAUACGUAGGGUGCAAGCGUUAAUCGGAAUUACUGGGCGUAAAGCGUGCGCAGGCGGUUUGCUAAGACCGAUGUGAAAUCCCCGGGCUCAACCUGGGAACUGCAUUGGUGACUGGCAGGCUAGAGUAUGGCAGAGGGGGGUAGAAUUCCACGUGUAGCAGUGAAAUGCGUAGAGAUGUGGAGGAAUACCGAUGGCGAAGGCGAGCCCCUGGCAAUACUGACGCUCAUGCACGAAAGCGUGGGGAGCAAAACAGGAUUAGAUACCCUGGUAGUCCACGCCCUAAAACGAUGUCAACUAGUUGUUGGGGAUUCAUUUCCUUAGUAACGUAGCUAACGCGUGAAGUUGACCGCCUGGGGAGUACGGUCGCAAAGAUUAAAAACUCAAAUGAAUUGACGGGGUCAUAGCUGUUUCCU
rnacentral:rRNA from 1 species